GGGGCAUCCGAGGGGCGCGUCUGGAAGCGCUGAGAUGGAGCUGACCCGCUCCAGCACCCUUUGAACCUGAUCCGGUUUGCGCCGGCGUAGGGACGGAACGACGGCAUGGG
rnacentral:ncRNA from 2 species